CGGCGCACGGGUGAGUAACACGUAUCCAACCUGCUGUCUACUCUUGGCCAGCCUUCUGAAAGGAAGAUUAAUCCAGGAUGGGAUCAUGAGUUCACAUGUCCGCAUGAUUAAAGGUAUUUUCCGGUAGACGAUGGGGAUGCGUUCCAUUAGAUAGUAGGCGGGGUAACGGCCCACCUAGUCAACGAUGGAUAGGGGUUCUGAGAGGAAGGUCCCCCACAUUGGAACUGAGACACGGUCCAAACUCCUACGGGAGGCAGCAGUGAGGAAUAUUGGUCAAUGGGCGAUGGCCUGAACCAGCCAAGUAGCGUGAAGGAUGACUGCCCUAUGGGUUGUAAACUUCUUUUAUAAAGGAAUAAAGUCGGGUAUGCAUACCCGUUUGCAUGUACUUUAUGAAUAAGGAUCGGCUAACUCCGUGCCAGCAGCCGCGGUAAUACGGAGGAUCCGAGCGUUAUCCGGAUUUAUUGGGUUUAAAGGGAGCGUAGAUGGAUGUUUAAGUCAGUUGUGAAAGUUUGCGGCUCAACCGUAAAAUUGCAGUUGAUACUGGAUGUCUUGAGUGCAGUUGAGGCAGGCGGAAUUCGUGGUGUAGCGGUGAAAUGCUUAGAUA
rnacentral:rRNA from 1 species